UACGAAGGGGGCGAGCGUUGUUCGGAUUUACUGGGCGUAAAGGGCGCGCAGGCGGCGCAUUUUGUCAGGCGUGAAAGCCCCGGGCUUAACCUGGGAACUGCGUUUGAUACGGAUGGGCUAGAGUUCGGGGGAGGAGAGUGGAAUUCCCAGUGUAGAGGUGAAAUGCGCAGAUAUCAGGAGGAACACCUAUUGCGAAGGCAGCUCGCUGGGACGUAACUGACGCUGAGACGCGAAAGCGUGGGGAGCAAACAGG
rnacentral:rRNA from 1 species